CAACGCUUAACGUUGUCCCGCUAGAGAAACUACUAGACUAGAGUAAGAUAGAGGCAAGCGGAAUUCCAUGUGUAGCGGUAAAAUGUGUAAAUAUAUGGAGGAACACCAGAGGCGUAGGCGGCUUGCUGGGUCUUUACUGACGCUGAGGCACGAAAGCGUGGGGAGCAAACAGGAUUAGAUACCCUGGUAGUCCACGCCGUAAACGAUGAGUACUAAGUGUCGGGGGUUUCCUCGGUACUGAAGUUAACACAUUAAGUACUCCGCCUGAGUAGUACGUACGCAAGUAUGAAACUUAAAGGAAUUGACGGGAUCCCGCACAAGCGGUGGAUCAUGUUGUUUAAUUCGAAGAUACACGAAAAACCUUACCAGGUCUUGACAUUAUCCUGCGAAGCUAUAGAAAUAUAGGGGAGGUUAUCAGGAUAACAGGUGGUGCAUGGUUGUCGUCAGCUCGUGUCGUGAGAUGUUAGGUUAAGUCCUAAAACGAGCGCAACCCUUGUCGUUAGUUACCAGCACGUUAUGGUGGGGACUUUAGCGAGACUGCCAAUGAAAAAAUUGGAGGAAGGUGAGGAUUACGUCAAAUCAUCAUGCCCCUUAUGAUCUGGGCUACAAACGUGAUACAAUGGCUAUUACAAAGAGCAGCUGAAACGUGAGUUGUUAGCUAAUCUCAAAAAAAUAGUCUCAGUUCGGAUUGAAGUCUGCAACUCGACUUCAUGAAGUUGGAAUCGCUAGUAAUCGCGAAUCAGCAUGUCGCGGUGAAUACGUUCUCGGGGUUUGUACACACCGCCCGUCAAACCAUGAAAGUUGACAAUACCCAAAACCAGUCGCUUAACUACUUCGGUAGAGGGAGCUGUCUAAGGUAGGGUCGAUGAUUGGGGUUAAGUCGUAACAAGGUAUCCCUACCGGAAGGUGGGGAUGGAUCACCUCCUUUCUAAGGAAAUGUCGUAUCAUGAUCAUCUUCAGUUUUGAAAGACUUAGAGUAGAUAAGUUUUUCUUUUGGCGUAGAGGAAGGGCCUAUAGCUCAGUUGGUAGAGCACACGCUUGAUAAGCGUGCGGUCAA
rnacentral:rRNA from 1 species